UGAGAGAUGAUCNACAUGUGCCACGUCA
rnacentral:piRNA from 1 species